rnacentral:pre_miRNA from 1 species
UUAACUCAAAAUUAUAUGGAGUUGGACAGCCUCCCUUCGUUUGCUGCUAGGGAAGCUGGUCAAACGCCAUACAAAUUUGAGUUA